UACGUAGGGUGCAAGCGUUGUCCGGAAUUAUUGGGCGUAAAGAGCUCGUGAGGCGGUUUGUCGCGUCUGCCGUGAAAGUCCGGGGCUCAACUCCGGAUCUGCGGUGGGUACGGGCAGACUAGAGUGAUGUAGGGGAGACUGGAAUUCCUGGUGUAGCGGUGAAAUGCGCAGAUAUCAGGAGGAACACCGAUGGCGAAGGCAGGUCUCUGGGCAUUAACUGACGCUGAGGAGCGAAAGCAUGGGGAGCGAACAGG
rnacentral:rRNA from 1 species